AUCUUAAUUAAUUAUUUUAAAAUUAUAAAAGAAAAAAUAAUAGAUUGUAAGAAACUAAGAAAGAAGCAUAAAAAUUAUAAUAAAAUUAUUUUUCAUUAAUCAAAUAAGGAAGCGUAUAUAAAGAAAAAAAAAUAAAAUUAUGAUACAAGAUAACUAAACCAAGUUGAUCUUCUUACUGCAUCCGAUGGUGGAUGUGUCUCCUUGAAUCCUUCAUCUUCUUUCGUACAGACAGCGGCAG
rnacentral:lncRNA from 1 species